rnacentral:rRNA from 1 species
UGGGGAAUAUUGGACAAUGGGCGAAAGCCUGAUCCAGCCAUGCCGCGUGUGUGAAGAAGGUCUUCGGAUUGUAAAGCACUUUAAGUUGGGAGGAAGGGCAUUAACCUAAUACGUUAGUGUUUUGACGUUACCGACAGAAUAAGCACAGGCUAACUCUGUGCCAGCAGCCGCGGUAAUACAGAGGGGGCAAGCGUUAAUCGGAAUUACUGGGCGUAAAGCGCGCGUAGGUGGUUUGUUAAGUUGGAUGUGAAAUCCCCGGGCUCAACCUGGGAACUGCAUUCAAAACUGACUGACUAGAGUAUGGUAGAGGGUGGUGGAAUUUCCUGUGUAGCGGUGAAAUGCGUAGAUAUAGGAAGGAACACCAGUGGCGAAGGCGACCACCUGGACUAAUACUGACACUGAGGUGCGAAAGCGUGGGGAGCAAACA